rnacentral:lncRNA from 1 species
AGCGCCUGGGAAUUAGGUGAGGAGCAUUAAUUACAGCCCAGUAGAUGUCGACCCCCCCUUAACACUGAUGUCAAUGUACUGUCUUCUCACCUACCUCAGGCCAUUAGACGUCGGUUUGAGUCAAGGACGAUGUUUAUGAUAUAGUAGACGUCGCCUUAUCCGAAAAUCGACGUCUAGUGUACCAAGUUAUUUACGAUACUACCACCGUCCACUCAUAUACUUCGGAUUACAUGAACACCAGCGUUUUUGCACUAGUGUUCAUUCAAAGUAUACCAUUAUAUCGUGAGGC